UCCUUUCCUGUGGCUGACCCCAUGUGCUGCUGUCCCCGCUGCCUGUCCUGGGGUGUCUUUAAUAAUCCACAUGCCCCUCACGGCUGUUCUUCUGCCAGAGGUAGCCAAGAUACUCCCCAAGACCUUCAGCUGGGACUUCAGAGAUCCCUGGCGAAGAGCUGGGCUGCCACUGCUGGAGGAGCCCUCUGGCUCUCCCCUCCCCAGCUACUGCGGCUAUUUCCGCCUGACGCAGGUGGGACCCCCCUGCCGUGGGCAAGGCUGGAGCCGCCGGCUGCACCGGGACAAGCAGGUGUGUGUGGAAUGCUGGGGGGACAUGUCCCACCACCGUGCCCAUUGCACUGGACAUGGGCUGCAAGGAGCCAGGACAUUUUGGGUGGCUGCCUCUGUGGUGGGGUGCCAGGGCUCAUGGGUACAGGAGGGGCUGCAGGAGGGUUGUGUCUGCUCCCCACCCGCUCUCAUCUUCGUGUAGGAUCUCCCUGGGAAGGUUUGCUGCUCACCCUUGUAUCCGACUCCCUGUGUUUACCAUUAAAUACUUUGUUGAAGAAUGGGAAGAAAAUCCUUCUUAUAAAGAUUAAAAAUAAGGGAAAUGCUGAAGUGUGGUGAUUAAUGGUAGAAGAACAUCACAAAGAGGUUAAAUCUGAGUGAGAAGAUGAUUGCAGCAGUGACAUGAUGUCAUGCUCAGCCAUGACAUCAUGCCAUGCAAUCAGCUGCCAUUGGCAAGCAAUAUGAGGAUGGAGCAUCUGAGAUCACUCCCUGGAGUGAAUGUUGGGUGAGCUGGGCAGAGUGACUCAGCUUUGUGCUGUGGUUUGCAGACAGGAAUUAAACAGAGACACCCAAAACCUGCACAUUGGGUGAUGGUGCCAGAGGGUGUCCAGUUCCAGCUGUGGGGCUCAGCAGCUCCCACUGGAGGGAGUGAGGCUGAACUGGGUGGUGCUGGUGCCCUUCCUCACUCAGCUUGACCUCAUUGGUGGGGUCCCUGGUCCAGCCUUGGCCUGUAGUUCCACAGCCUGUGGUGGGAGGAUGUGCUGUGCCAGGGCUGGCUCUUGCCAGGCUGGCCAAGGGAGGAGGGAGCCCAAGGUGGGGACAGCCCAGAUCUGGAGGUGGGAAGGAGAGGGCAGCCCAUGGAAUAGCUGCCCCAGCCUCAUCCAAUGGGACUCUGGCUGCAGGGUGGCAACCAGCACCCAUCCCCAGGAGGAACAGAUUGUCUCUGUCCCCACAGUGGGGACUGUGGCCCUGGGCAGUCCCAGUGCCUGCAGAGGACUGUCAGUUGCCCAGCUCUCUGUGGAAUGUAAUGAGGAGGGUUCAGCCAGGCAUUGGGUUGUCACCUACCCAUCAGCUACCUAUGGCCAUGAGCCAGGGUGGCCCGUAGGGCUGGGGGCUUGAGCAGGGGGCUUAGGAUUUGAGGUUCCCUUGCUGCAGCCUAUGGCUGUUGCCUGUUUGCUGCCCCAGGAUGUGUUUGGCUCCUGCUGCCUGUUACAGCUCCCUCUCACCCCAUCCUCCUGGGCAGGGAAAUUAAAAGGCUUCAACACUGGGAACGUUCUUGGCCUCUUUAUUUGGGAUGAAAUCCCAGGUCAGCCAUGGACAAAAACACUGGUUAAAAAAA
rnacentral:lncRNA from 1 species